AGAUGGGGAAGGGUCUUACUUGGUGACAGGAUCAUCUCCAAACUUCAUGAGCAUCCGGAUGGCUGUUGGUGCCGUGUAGAACUUGGUCACCUUGUAUUUGUCCACAAUACUCCACAAGCGCCCUUCAUCUGGCUCUCAGCUCAAAUGCUACCUUCUUAGAAGACUCCCCUGAACAGUAGCUGACACUCCCACCCCUCCUGCUCUUAUUAUUCAUUACACCUGGUUUAUUCCCUACAACACAUAUUUCCAGGGACAUCAAGGGGCCCAGGAACAAAAGAACCAGGCUUAGCUCUAGCAGUAAACUCAGUGGAGCAGACAGACAGAGAACAGAUGAGCAUACAGAUGAGCAAGCACACAGAAGCAGUGUUCAAGAGCAGUGAAGAAGUGGAUACCUGGGGUCGGAUGCACUUGGAUUUCUCUCUCAGCUUACCCUGUUAAGAGCCCAUGGAAUGGAAAGGCUGAUGAGCAGGGUCCAAGGAUAGAGCUGGGACAAAAAAAAAUUGAAAAUCACUACCUUUGGACUUGAGGACAAGGCUCAGUGGUACAACCCUCGCCUGGCAUGGGAGAGGCUCUUGGCAAUCCAAGCAUCAGAAAAUGUGGGUUGUAGGGGGAGUGGGGAAUAAAGAGUCAUUUUUAAAAAGA
rnacentral:lncRNA from 1 species